UUCUUGCCCUUGCUGGGCUCCCGGGCAGUUAUGACGGCUGUUACAGGAGAGGAGCGCACAGGAAGAAAUGCCUCAUUGCGGGAAUAAGGGAGGCCUGGCAAAGAGAUCCAGCUAGGGACUGGCCCAUAAAUAGCCAGGAUGACAGACCAAGGGAGAGGCACCCAGCUGGCCUCUGGAAGGGAGUUUUUCUGGGGCCUCUCCUGCAGUGAAAACCUCCCCGGAGUCCCUGAAGCUGUGCUGGAGGAUGAGUACAGUGGACAGGACGUGAGAUGGACUGCAUUUCUCAGGUCAUGUGACUGAAUUCUGGUCCAAGGAAUGUGCCUGCCUCAGUGUGUGGCUCGACAAACCGCCCAUGCUCUUCCCUAAGGGCUCUCUCUUCCCAACCCAGCUGGCUGGAUGCAGAGGAUCCAGCAGACGAUGCUGAGCUCCUAGGAGAUGGCGACAGAGCCACACAACGGAAGCCUGACAGCCUGGACCACCUCUCCCUAAACCGCACGGCACUGGACUAUGUUGUGAACCAAAAAAUAAGCCUUUGUUUUGUUAAGCCACUGAGAUUCGGGGUUUGUUAUUCAUACGCAGUGAUUCUUCCUCACUGAUACAAAUAUUUAGAUGUGCUCAAGGUUAUCCGAGAAAAGCAAAAUAAAAAAAGGAUAC
rnacentral:lncRNA from 1 species